rnacentral:rRNA from 1 species
CACGAAGGGGGCUAGCGUUGCUCGGAAUCACUGGGCGUAAAGCGCACGUAGGCGGACUCUUAAGUCGGUGGUGAAAUCCUGGAGCUCAACUCCAGAACUGCCUUCGAUACUGAGAGUCUCGAGUCCGGGAGAGGUGAGUGGAACUGCGAGUGUAGAGGUGAAAUUCGUAGAUAUUCGCAAGAACACCAGUGGCGAAGGCGGCUCACUGGCCCGGUACUGACGCUGAGGUGCGAAAGCGUGGGGAGCAAACAGG